rnacentral:rRNA from 1 species
GAUGAACGCUAGCGGCAGGCUUAACACAUGCAAGUCGAGGGGCAGCACAAGAUUGCUUGCAAUCUGGUGGCGACCGGCGCGCGGGUGCGUAACGCGUAUACAAUCUACCUUAUAGAGGGGGAUAGCCCAGGGAAACUUGGAUUAAUACCCCAUAGUAUUAUAGCAUAGCAUUAUGUUAUAAUUAAACAUUUAUGGCUAUAAGAUGAGUAUGCGUCCUAUUAGUUAGUUGGUAAGGUAACGGCUUACCAAGACAUCGAUAGGUAGGGGUCCUGAGAGGGAGAUCCCCCCACACUGGUACUGAGACACGGGACCAGACUCCUACGGGAGGCAGC